rnacentral:misc_RNA from 1 species
UGUAGCGGCACUAUUUGUAUGCUUCCUUGAUAUCAGAUUUGGCACUAUCCUCCCAAGCCCGGUAGAAAGUAUAGUCAUAACAAACAAGGCACUGAGCGCACCAGAUAAAACGAUUGAUUUGGGGUGACGCAUUGCCAUCAGAGCUGCUAUUAUAAAUGUCUCAUCACCAAUCUCGCUGACAAGAAUCAUUGACAAACUAGCAAAUAAGGCAUCAAGAGUGCCAAGAUUAGAGUCCACAUCCAGACCAAAAUCAAUAGAAUCUGGAUCGUCACCCCUCACAGCACCAGUCUUAAUUUUCUCGACUAUAAUUUUGCUCCGCCUCCCCAGAUCUUUGAACCGUCCACCUGACUCAACAAUUUGAGUUUCAUCCCCAGCUUCCUGAGCCAAAAUCAAAGGGAUACUGAUGAGAAGUAACAAGAUCCAUAUAAAUUUGGGGUUUGAAAGCAAACCCAUAUCGUUUUUCUUUCCGGGUAAUUGAGUAUCAACCCCAGUCCUUGAAAUUCUUCAAGAAAAACAGCAAAUAAGCAAAAUUAAUGGGGGAAAAGGUGAGUUUACUUAAAGGAAUCGAAAAGGGUGUCAGUGGAUCUUGAAAAAGGGUGUCAAUGGAUCUUGAAAAAGGGAAAAAUGGAAAGAGAUGAGAAGAAGAGGAGAUCUUGCGGACACAAAGGAGAAGCAAAGAGAGUAGCAAGAUCUCCCCAAAGCUAGGCCUUACCAAGUGGCAAAUGUUAGUAGUUUUUG